GAAUAUUGGACAAUGGGCGCAAGCCUGAUCCAGCCAUGCCGCGUGAGUGAUGAAGGCCUUAGGGUUGUAAAGCUCUUUCGCUAGGGAAGAUAAUGACGGUACCUAGAGAAGAAGCCCCGGCUAACUUCGUGCCAGCAGCCGCGGUAAUACGGGGGGGGCAAGCGUUGUUCGGAAUUACUGGGCGUAAAGGGCUCGUAGGCGGCCAACUAAGUCGGAUGUGAAAUCCCCAGGCUCAACCUGGGAACUGCAUCCGAUACUGGAUGGCUUGAAUUCGGGAGAGGGAUGCAGAAUUCCAGGUGUAGCGGUGAAAUGCGUAGAUAUCUGGAGGAAUACCGGUGGCGAAGGCGGCAUCCUGGACCGACAUUGACGCUGAGGAGCGAAAGCUAGGGGAGCAAAC
rnacentral:rRNA from 1 species